rnacentral:sRNA from 1 species
CCCUUUCCGGCCGGUCCCCAUGGAGGCGCUGGGGAAGCUGAAGCAGUUCGAUGCCUACCCCAAGACUUUGGAGGACUUCCGGGUCAAGACCUGCGGGGGCGCCACCGUGACCAUUGUCAGUGGCCUUCUCAUGCUGCUACUGUUCCUGUCCGAGCUGCAGUAUUACCUCACCACGGAGGUGCAUCCUGAGCUCUACGUGGACAAAUCGCGGGGAGAUAAACUGAAGAUCAACAUCGAUGUACUUUUUCCGCACAUGCCUUGUGCCUAUCUGAGUAUUGAUGCCAUGGAUGUGGCCGGAGAACAGCAGCUGGAUGUGGAACACAACCUGUUCAAGCAACGACUAGAUAAAGAUGGCAUCCCCGUGAGCUCAGAGGCUGAGCGGCAUGGUAACCAGGGGAGGGGGCCGGGUCUCAGAUCCCAAAGCUGGACGUACCCAAGCCUAUCUGCUAGCAAGUGAACUGUGACAGGCAUAGUGAUACAUUAAACAACUAAGAGCUAGAGAAGUCAAGUGACUUGCCUAGGGUCCCCCAGCUAGUAAGAGUCAGAGUGAGCUAAAAUCCUCUAUACAUAUCGAGUCAGGUAAU